CCCUCUUUUUCUUUCCCAGCACGCAGCCCUCUCUGAGUAUCGGCCCAUUCUGUCCAGGAACCCGUCUUCCCAACCGAGAGCCGCCUCCGUAGCGGACAGGAAGCUGACCUUAAUCCCGAUUAUUUUCAUCUUCCUGCGUAUCUGGAGUACCGUUCGUUUUGUCCUGACCCUUUCUGGCUCCCCUGCAGACCGAAACUGGCUCCUGGUCAUACUUCACGGAGUUGGGAACACGUUUCAAGGAGCCGCAAACUGCAUCCUUUUCGUCUUUUGCACACGAGUCGUCCGGAAUAAGCUGUUUUCUUCCUUGUGCUGCUGGAGACACUUGGAGGCUCCCCCGCCGAGUUUGGAGACCAGCUUCCAGGCUGAGCCCCCGCUUCGCAAAGACUGGGAGCUGCUGCAAGGCAGCGAUAGCACAGGGGAAGACUCACCCAUCCCCUGAACGUUGGCCUGCAUCGUGAUGGAAAUCACCUUUUUUGCCUGGUGGGGUUUUCACUGU